AGAUUUAACGUUAAUCAAAAUUUUUUCGAUCCUGCAUCUUAUCUAACAUAAAGACGAGGAAUUGGAAAGUUUCAAAUCUUGUCCACAUAUGUCGCUGUAGUCGCAAGGUGGUGAACAGCCAUAAUGAAUUGUAUGAAAGGAAGAAACGAAAGGAACGGAACGGAAUGGUAUGGAAUCAAUGGACAGCAGGCAGGUGCCAACAUGGCGAUUGUUGCGCUCUGGACUUGUGCGACAUCGCCCUGUAUAAUGAUAUCGUUUUAAGUGCUUAUUAAAGCAGUGGAAAUAAAGUGACAAGAAAAACAAUGUCUUAAAUGGCUCAGGAUAUAUGGAAAGCAUAUUAACUUUAGCAAAAUGUCAACGAGAUCGCAACUCACUAAGGAUUUAAACGAAUCGGUGAAAGCAUUACUUGGUAAGCAUGUCAAGAUACUACUAAAAAAUGUUGUCAAGUUAGAAACCAAGCAGGAUAAGCAAGAAAACCGCGUUCUUGUAUUUUCACCAUGCCGUCUUUUUCUUUUAACGGCCAAAGUACCCACAAGGAUCGACUGCCACUUCCAUUACUUAGAAAUAGUAUCUAUAGAAUCCAAAAGAGCAAACCAAUUAUGUUUAACUGUAGGAGAAAGAUUUUACAAUUUUACUACAACCAGUGUGGGUGCAGAUACUACCGAAGUCGAUGCAAUGAUCGAGGCCUUACAUACUGCUAUUCGCAAUAUCUUUCCUACAGUACCAUUAAAUUAUAUUAUAAGAAAGAUAGAGGUAAUCCCAGCAAGCAGAUUACAAACCAUAAGAGGUAGUGAAUUAGCCAGGAGCACGGAAGCAACAAGACACACUGGGCCUUGUGGUGGUUUUUCCACUCAAUAUGCGUGUAUGUGCGAUUUACAUGGUGUACCAUAUAGAGAAGAAGUUGCUUGGGAUGUAGACACAAUAUAUUUAUCCCACGAUACCAGAGAACUUAACUUAAGGGAUUUUGACCAUUUAGAUCAAAAAGAUUUGGUACCGAUAAUAUCAGCCUUGGAAUAUAAUACAUGGUUUACUAAGUUGAGAGCGUCGCAUCUUAAGUUAAGCCAUGAACCACUUGAAAGAUUAUUGCAUGUUAUGCGUAGGUCAUUGUCUAUUCAAGAACUCUAUUUGGAUAAUCUUGGAGUUAAAUGGGAUUUUGCACACAAAUUGUCAUUAGCCUUGAUUUCUAAUGCUAAUACAAUGUUACAGACAAUAGAUUUGUCACAUAAUAUGAUCGAGGACAAAGGAGCAUCUAGCUUGUGUGGGAUAAUUGCCAAGUUAAUGCAAGGAGCUACACAUUUAAGUGGCCCUAUUGGAAAAUUACCUAAAGGAUUACAAAAAUUAAAUUUGGCUCAUUGUGGAUUAACUGGAAAAGGCAUUGGUCAAAUAGCACAUGCAUUAAGUUUAAAUAGGAGUAUGCCAACUAGUCUGCAAUACUUAAAUCUUUCAGAAAAUACUUUGAAAGAUGAUAUUAAUAAUUUAUGUAACUUUCUGGCACAGCCUAAUAGUUUAACACAUUUAGAUCUUAGUGGUACAGAUACAACCUUAGAAUGUCUAUUUGGUGCUUUAUUGCGAGGUUGUGCAACUAAUCUAGUCCAUCUAAACGUUGCUCGCAAUUCUUUUUCAAGUAAAAAGACCAAAGAAAUACCUCCCAGUUUUAAGCAAUUUUUUACAGCGACACUUUCAUUAAAGUACUUAAACAUCUCAUUCUGUAAAUUACCUCUGGAGGCAUUAAAACAUUUGUUACUUGGAUUGGCAUGUAAUGAAAGUACAGUAGGUUUAGAACUUGAUAUGAGUGGAAAUAAUUUAGGUUCUAUGGGUGCUCAUGUUUUGGAAUCAUGUAUACAUGGUGUAAGAUGCAUAGCAUCAUUGGAUAUUUCGGACAGCAAUAUGGAUGUUGAUUUAGCGCAAGUAAUAACAGCCAUAGGUAAAAACAAAUCUAUCAAACAAUUAUAUAUGGGUCGAAAUACAACUGGCAUGAAAAGCAAACACAUUGCCGUUGUAAUGGAUGCUUUGGUCCAAAUGCUCCAAGAGGAUGAUUGCGUUUUACAAGCAUUACAUAUACCUGAUUCUCGUCUUAAAUCUGAUCUCUAUAAUUUGAUUAACGCUUUAGGAAGUAAUACCUGUCUUCAUACAUUAGACAUAAGUGGAAAUCAAAUUGGUGAUCCUGGUGCAAGAUUAUUAGCCAAAGCAUUACAAAUCAAUAACCAUUUAAGGACCAUCAUUUAUGAUAAAAAUAAUAUUACGCUUCAAGGUUAUGCUGAUAUCGUGCAUGCUUUGGAGAAAAAUUGUAGCGUCAGGCAUAUGCCAUUUCCAAUUUUUGAUCUACAACCGUGUAUGAAAACGUCUGCUGAAAAAACAGAGCAAUUAGCUAAAAAAAUUCAAGAUUUACUGCAGAGAAAUGUAACACCAUGUAAAUACAGUCAUGGACAAGCAUUUAGACUUCAGCAAGGUUUCUUGUUAAGUUCUACACAACAGAUGGUCGAUAGACUUGUCGUUCAAACUCAGGAUACUAUAAAAGCUAUAGCUGCAGAAAGCUGUGAUGCAAAUAAUGACAUUAAUUAUGCUACCGGUCUAAUACAAGAUGCUGAUAAUUCUAAACAGCUUCUUCCAAGAUUACACGAAGUACUACAAAGAAGAGAUGAAAAUAAUCCAAUUGAAUUAAAAUUACACGAUAUGGCAAGCGAACUUCACAAAGUUGUUACUAUGUACUUAGAGGAUUCAUUAGAUGCAAUGCUUAAAUGUGCAAAUGAACAAUGUCCAACUAUACUCUCACAAACAGUAAUUAGAGGAGAUGAAAGCGAACCUAUUGCUGUAGAGGAUGAUGUUCGUAAUAUUUGUAAGGAGAAAAAUCAUAUAAGCACAGAAUUUAUUCAUACCACUAUUACAGAACAAGCUGGUGCUGAUAUUAUUAAUAGAGUCAAUGAGUUAAAUUUAGCAGUUGCUGCGUAUGUAUCUGAUAGAACCACUGAUGAAGUAAUCGAAUCUUUGUCACGUAGUUACAAGACUUUGAUUGGAGAUUGUGACAGUCGAACAAGAAGUAGUACUCCAGAUGUAUUACGACCAAGUGCAGGUUCCAUGAGUAGUGGAAGUGUUAUUGGUGUUACAAGUGCUACUGGUGUUUCUAUGACAUUGCAUGGUGGAAGGACUAGUCUUAUUUCAGAAGUUGAGUGUCCUCCAGAAACGUAUUCCUUGGAAAAUUCUCUUAGCCAUUGUUCCAGUGAACAAUCCCCAAUGAAAUUGGAUUAUUUGAAUCUUGCAACUCCACAUUUAUCUAAUAAAAGGAAAAGUUUACAUGGGAGAAAAUUAAGACCAAAAUCGGUAGUAGAUUCUGUAGAAGGAUUGUCAGCAGACGAUAUACCUGAUUUACUUCCAUCACUGCCAAAAAGUCAGGCAGAAGCUAUUUCAGAAACUGAACAUUCCUUGACAGAAUCGUUAGAUUCUGUCUCAGAAUUACCUAAUACAGUGGGUCAACAAUUACAACAUUUAGUUAAAUCUAGACCACGAAGAACAAAAACUAGAGCACCCACAAGACCAAUGUUAAGACCAGAUCAACCUGUAGAUGGUUUAGCUCUUGGUGAAGGAUUAGAUGUAUUUUUCCGGCCUACAACACCAACUACACCACUUAUAUCGCCUACGAGCGAUGAUAGUUCUUUACAUACAUUUCCAACGGAUGGAAGUCCAAAUUUAUCUUUGGCGAGUCAUAAAAGUAUACCACCUGAUCUAGAUAAAAAGCAUGGAUGUAAUUCACCGAUGUUAAAAACAUUACUUGAACCAACACCACGUUCAAGGUCUAGCGAUAAUUUAGAAAAAUUUUCUCCGCUGGUAGGAAGACGUUCACAAGGUGAUUCGCCAUUAACUGCAUCUCCUUUAGCUCGUCGAAAUACAACAGAUAAUGCUCAAGGACAUGAUAGAGUAAUGUCUAGAUGUGAUAGUAGUAAGGAUACGUAUAAUAACAGUAUUAUGAGUACUUCCGUUGAUUCUUCCAAACGAAAUACUUUACCAAAUAUUGGAUCGAUUCCAACAUCUCGGGAAGACUGUGGAAAAAUAUUACAAUUACAAAAUAAUACGAAUUCGUCAUUAGAAAAGGAUAAAUCUAGCGCACAAGCAAUGUCUUCUGUUAAAUUACGUUCUACUGGUUUUGAUCUUCGAAGUCCGACCAAUGGCAGCAACACCAAAAAUUCAUCUGAAUCAUCUAAGUCACCAAUAUUAAAAUCUGUUAAAGGAAAUAAUUCUAGUAGCGAUGGAAAAAAUAAUGGUGCUCAUUUAAAAAAUAAACCUAUUCCUCCUGCUACAGCACCAAAACCACGACCAUGGAGCAUGGCUGCUGAUAGGAAAUCUGGUGAAUUUAGCUUAUUAAGUGAUGGGUCCAGUCCAAAUACAUCUGCAGGAAAUACACCUGACUCCGGUGAUGCUCUUGACGAAUCAACUGAUAGUGGUGUUAGUGGUCCUGCAUCAUUACCACCUACAUUAUCUGCAAGCAGUACAGCAAGUUCAUUGAGCAACACGAGUGUAGAGAAAAGAUCGGUCAGGGAAUUGGCUGCUAGUUUAAAUAAAGGAAAGGCUGACAAGAAAGAAAAUGCUUUAAAAUAGUUUGGAAAUGCAUGACAUGCCUUAAAUUCAUGAGCCUUGCUGUAUAUAUUAUUUUAGAGAAUAGCACACCUGCACCAUGGAGGUCGGUGCUUCAACGUUCUGCUGACCGACCAGUUACCAAGGUAACGGAAGUGCCGAAAACGGUUGAAGAUUC
rnacentral:misc_RNA from 1 species